GGUUUAUGGGCGUUGUUGCGCACAUGCCGAUGGCAUGUCUAUAUCGGCAUAACCAGGGGGCAUAACAGUCAACACUACUUCGUCACGAGGCCGAAGGCUGGAGGGGAGAGAUGCCUCCCAGAAAGAAAGCCAAGACUCGGGCUGCAACCCCCUCUGAAGACCUUGAACCAAAGCCAAUGCUACCAAUGGAGGUAGACCACAACAGCGGCCUGCUCCAGCUGCCAGAGACGUUUGACGAGUCCGUAGACCUGCUGGUGGAUCGCGUGCGGAAGGCCGUGUUCGAAAACGUCACCAUGUUCAAGAUCGAGGUGGCAAGCAUCGCGGCUGGUAUGAAGGCGGCCGACGUGAUCGCCGACCUCUCGGCCAAGGCGCACCAGGACAUCUGCGAGAUCGUGCCGCUGUGCCAGGUGCGUCUCAACGACCUGCCGGCCAACGGCUGCUCGAUGCUGUUCGACCAAGCGCCAGUACGCCGAGGCGCUCGUGCAUGCGGUGCGCGCCCACUUCGCGUUCGUGGCGUUCGACCGGCGACUGAUUUACACGAGCACGGCCGGCCCCGGCGACCGGGGCGCGCCGCGCCUGCUCUACCUGUUCACGUACCUGCGCACGGCGGCUGAUCGCGCCGAGCCCACGGCCACGAGCGCCGCCGCCGCCCGGCUGGGAGUGCGCGAGGCAAAUAACCGGCGCAGGACAGUGGCUAUGCCUUCAUCGGUGUUCAUCGAAAAGGAGCUGGAGCAGUUCAGAGAAGAACUGGACCGCGCCGAGCAGGAGCUGAUGGACGCCUCGCAGUCGAUGGAGGACGACUACCGGCUGCCGGAGCCGAGCCCACCGAUCGUGUCGCUCAGCGUGCCCCGCCGGUCCUUGGGCCCCGCCCUGCCCGCCGUGCUGCCGACCGCCACGCUCCGAGGCGGCCGUGUCCC